rnacentral:lncRNA from 1 species
CCAGCACUCCAAAUAUGAACACGCUUAAAAAACUAAUACUUUGAAAAUUAUUUAAAAUUAAAAAAAUAAUCAUUCAAGGUUUAAAAAUGACCUUCAGUAACUACUCGAGAUGGCCAAAAGCUGUCGAAAGUGAACUGGGUAGAGGUGGCAGAUGAGAAUGACACGGGGGUAGUGGAUAGACGUGUGGAGACAGCAGCGCAUUGGCUGCACACACCGAUAAGGAUGAGAUCCUUAAACCAGUUGAAUCGAGUUCGCUCGCUCCUCCUCUUCCAUUCUACACUGACAAUGAACUUCACCGUCGCUCGAGGAGGGAGAUAGAUGCCAGGAAAAC